rnacentral:rRNA from 1 species
GAUGAACGCUAGCGACAGGCCUAACACAUGCAAGUCGAGGGGCAGCACAUGAGUAGCAAUACGAUGGUGGCGACCGGCGCACGGGUGAGUAACACGUAUGCAACCUACCGGUAAAAGGGGGAUAGCCUCUCGAAAGAGAGAUUAAUACCGCAUAAUAUCUCUGGAUGGCAUCAUUUAGAGAUUAAACAUUUAUGGUUUACCGAUGGGCAUGCGUAUGAUUAGCUAGUAGGUGAGGUAACGGCUCACCUAGGCAACGAUCAUUAGGGGUUCUGAGAGGAAGGUCCCCCACACUGGUACUGAGACACGGACCAGACUCCUACGGGAGGCAGCAGUGAGGAAUAUUGGUCAAUGGGCGAGAGCCUGAACCAGCCAAGUCGCGUGAAGGAUGAAGGUUCUAUGGAUUGUAAACUUCUCUUGUAAGGGAAUAAAAAGUGGUACGUGUACCAUAUUGUAUGUACUUUACGAAUAAGGAUCGGCUAACUCCGUGCCAGCCGCCGCGGUAACAC